GUUUGGUGGUUGGUUUUGUGUCAGCGUGGCGGUUAGCUCUCCUAAGUGUGGCGGUUAUUCCUGGAAUUGCUUUUGCUGGGGGUCUUUAUGCGUAUACUCUCACCGGUCUCACGUCAAAAAGCAGAGAAUCCUAUGCAAAUGCUGGAAUUAUUGCUGAGCAGGCAAUUGCACAAGUCAGAACAGUUUACUCAUAUGCGGGCG
rnacentral:misc_RNA from 1 species